AGCUUUCGGGCCCAUACCCCAAAAACGGUGACUAACACCUCCUAAUACCUC
rnacentral:tRNA from 1 species